AGACUGUCGCCGGAUGUGUAUCCGACCUGACGAUGGCCCAAAAGGGCCGAAACAGUCCUCUACAAAUAAUUUUGUUUAA
rnacentral:ribozyme from 11 species